rnacentral:rRNA from 1 species
AAAACAACUCUUGGCAACGGAUAUCUCGGCUCUCGCAUCGAUGAAGAACGUAGCGAAAUGCGAUACUUGGUGUGAAUUGCAGAAUCCCGUGAACCAUCGAGUCUUUGAACGCAAGUUGCGCCCCAAGCCGUUAGGCCGAGGGCACGUCUGCCUGGGUGUCACGC